rnacentral:rRNA from 1 species
UACGGAGGGUGCAAGCGUUAUCCGGAUUCACUGGGUUUAAAGGGCGCGCAGGCGGAUUUGUAAGUCAGUGGUGAAAGGCUUAAGCUUAACUUGGGAACUGCCAUUGAUACUAUAAGUCUUGAAUGUUGUUGAGGUUUGCGGAAUGGGUCAUGUAGCGGUGAAAUGCAUAGAUAUGACCCGGAACACCUAUUGCGAAGGCAGCAGGCUAAACAAAUAUUGACGCUGAGGCUCGAAAGCGUGGGGAUCAAACAGG